rnacentral:rRNA from 1 species
CAGUAGCCGCGGGAAUACGAAGGGGGCUAGCGUUGCUCGGAUUUACUGGGCGUAAAGGGCGCGUAGGCGGACUGAUAAGUCAGGGGUGAAAUCCCAAGGCUCAACCUUGGAACUGCCUUUGAUACUGUUUGUCUUGAGUUCGAGAGAGGUAAGUGGAACUGCGAGUGUAGAGGUGAAAUUCGUAGAUAUUCGCAGGAACACCAGUGGCGAAGGCGGCUUACUGGCUCGAAACUGACGCUGAGGCGCGAAAGCGUGGGGAGCAAACAGGAUUAGAUACCCCCGUAGUCCCUGUCUCUUAUAC